AAGUCGUAACAAGGUUUCCGUAGGUGAACCUGCGGAAGGAUCAUUACCUAGAGUUUGUGGGCUUUGCCCGCUACCUCUUACCCAUGUCUUUUGCGUACCUAUGUUUCCUCGGUGGGCUUGCCCGCCGGCUGGACAAACUUAUAACCUUUUUAAUUUUCAAUCAGCGUCUGAAUAAACAUAAUAAUUACAACUUUCAACAACGGAUCUCUUGGUUCUC
rnacentral:misc_RNA from 1 species